rnacentral:rRNA from 1 species
GCAAGUCGAACGGAAAGGCCCUGCUUGCAGGGUACUCGAGUGGCGAACGGGUGAGUAACACGUGGGUGAUCUGCCCUGCACUUCGGGAUAAGCCUGGGAAACUGGGUCUAAUACCGGAUAGGAGCCAUUUUUAGUGUGAUGUUUGGAUAGUAUUUUUCGGUGUAGGAGGAGCUCGCGGCCUAUCAGCUUGUUGGUGGGGUAAUGGCCUACCAAGGCGACGACGGGUAGCCGGCCUGAGAGGGUGAAC